CAGCCGCCACGGUAAUACGGGGGGAGCUAGCGUUGUUCGGAAUUACUGGGCGUAAAGCGCGCGUAGGCGGUUACUCAAGUCAGAGGUGAAAGCCCGGGGCUCAACCCCGGAACUGCCUUUGAAACUAGGUGACUAGAAUCUUGGAGAGGUCAGUGGAAUUCCGAGUGUAGAGGUGAAAUUCGUAGAUAUUCGGAAGAACACCAGUGGCGAAGGCGACUGACUGGACAAGUAUUGACGCUGAGGUGCGAAAGCGUGGGGAGCAAACAGGAUUAGAUACCCGUGUAGUCCCUGUCUCUUAUAC
rnacentral:rRNA from 1 species